AUAGCUUCAGCACCACAUAUUCUAAAACUAAAAUGAUACAGAGAAGAUUAAUAUGGCCCUUGUGCAAGAAUGACAUGCAAAUUCAAGAAGUGUUCUAUAUUUUU
ensembl:snRNA U6 U6 spliceosomal RNA